rnacentral:lncRNA from 1 species
ACAGCCCCCGCCCGCCGGGUUGGCCUCGGAGAGUUUGUCCGGUGGCCGAGGUAGACGGAGGUGCAGUGAGAACCCCGGCGGUAGCACGAUGGGAGACUCCAAAGUGAAAGUGGCGGUACGGGUCCGGCCAAUGAACCGACGAGGUGAGCGCUUGUCCCGGGCCGGGGGCGACAGGUGCCUGUGGUGGUAGAGCUUCGGCGUCCCGGGGGUCUCGGCGGGCUCCCUUCAGCGCGCGUGCGCCCUCGACGGCGCGGUCGGGCCCUCAGCCCUCCGCCCCGCCAGCUGUCACCGAGCUCUCCAGGCCUGGGGCAGCUCCGGCCUCGCAGUCCUCCUGUGUACGCAGCUCUUAGGGCGGACAGCCCUACUUUUCGAUUUUCCACGUUCUCCCUUGAACCUGCACCUUGUGGCUGUUUGCAGAAAAGGAAGGACAUGCAUGCCUUCUUAGUUCUUUUCUGGUUUAUGACUGUCGAGAGGUUUCCUUUUUUUCCUUUUGCUUGAAGUGAUAGUCAUCAUCUCAACAAUAAAUAGUCUCAGUGCCAAGAUUCUUGGGAAAUUGUAUCUUUCAGACAUGCUCUGAAGUCUGUAGGGAGGGUAGAGAAAGUAGAUAAACCCAGGACACGUAAAUCAUCUAUCCAAGUUGGAAAGACUGAAGCCCAACUUGAAUCCGGGGAGUAGCUGCUUUUUGCCUCUGUAGCUUCACCAGAGGGUGACUGGGCAGGGUACUUAAAAUGAGGUGAUGUGUUUGAAAACACUUUCUAGACAAGUCUUGUUAUUGAGGUUGCUGCCGCGCUCCCGGGAGAUGGAAUUGCUGCUAAUUGAUUUAGACUACUGACUAGCUAGAGCCAUUAUUAAGUGCAGGAGUCAUUUUCCAAGGUUUCUAGUUUGUUUUACUGUGUUUAAAGUCUAGUGUGUAGGAAAUAGUUUUUCUGUCUCCUUGCCCUUUUGUGUAUGUAUUGAGGUAAGUAGGUGUAAAAGUUAACAAAGAUUUCUCUGGUUGGUUGUUCCUUGGGAACUUGGUGUCUCUGUUUUCUUGUCGUUGGUUUGCCUACUUGAACCUGCUGAAGUCUAUGAGGCAAGCUUUUCCCCUGAAGACGGAACUUUUUAAGCUCUCAGCUCAUUGCCUCCUAACAUCCAGGUUCUCACAAAACAGAGUGAGUAGCUUAGAAGUCUGAAAGUUUUCAGUUCUCCCAUUUUUUGAGUAUCCAGACAUCUUUAUUUUAGAUCACUUCACCUCAUUGUGAUCAUUACUGCG